rnacentral:rRNA from 1 species
UACGUAGGGUCCGAGCGUUGUCCGGAAUUACUGGGCGUAAAGAGCUUGUAGGCGGUUCGUCGCGUCGUUUGUGAAAACUCGAGGCUCAACCUCGAGACGUCGGUUGAAACCAUCUGGCUAGAGUCCGGAAGAGGAGAGUGGAAUUCCCGGUGUAGCGGUGAAAUGCGCAGAUAUCGGGAAGAACACCCGUGGCGAAGGCGGCUCUCUGGGACGGUACUGACGCUGAGACGCGAAAGCGUGGGGAGCGAACAGG